rnacentral:rRNA from 1 species
AGUGAACGCUGGCGGUAGGCCUAACACAUGCAAGUCGAACGGCGGCACAGUACGAGCUUGCUCUAACGGGUGCCGAGUGGUGGGUGGGUGAGGAGUACAUCGGCAUUUACUUUUUCGUGGGGGAUAAAGAAGGGAACUAUACGCUAAUACCGCAUACGACCUCCGGGUGAAAGCAGGGGAUCUUCGGACCUUGCGCGAUUGAAUGCGCCGAUGUCGGAUUAGCUAGUUGGCGGGGUAAAGGACCACCAAGGCGGCGAUCCGUAGCUGGUCUGUGAGGAUGAUCGGCGACACUGGAACUGAGACAGGGUCCAUGGUCCUACGAGAGGCAGCAGUGGGGAAUAUUGGACAGUGGGCGCAAACCUGGUCCAGCCAUACCGCGUGGGUGGAGAAGGCCUUCGGGCUGUAAAGCCCGUUUGUUGGGAGAGAAAAGCAGCAGGUUAAUACCCCGCUGUUCUGACGGUACCCAAAGAAGAAGCACCGGCUAACUUCGUG